UACGUAGGCAGCAAGCGUUGUUCGGAAUUACUGGGCGUAAAGAGUGUGUAGGCGGUGCUCUAAGUUCGGUGUGAAAUCUCCCGGCUUAACUGGGAGGGUGCGCCGGAAACUGGAGUGCUCGAGCGUGGGAGAGGAAAGCGGAAUUCCUGGUGUAGCGGUGAAAUGCGUAGAUAUCAGGAGGAACACCUGCGGUGUAGACGGCUUUCUGGACCAUUGCUGACGCUGAGACACGAAAGCGUGGGGAGCAAACAGG
rnacentral:rRNA from 1 species